GACGAACGCUGGCGGCGUGCUUAACACAUGCAAGUCGAACGGAAAGGCCCUGCUUUUGUGGGGUGCUCGAGUGGCGAACGGGUGAGUAACACGUGAGUAACCUGCCCUUGACUUUGGGAUAACUUCAGGAAACUGGGGCUAAUACCGGAUAGGAGCUCCUGCUGCAUGGUGGGGGUUGGAAAGUUUCGGCGGUUGGGGAUGGACUCGCGGCUUAUCAGCUUGUUGGUGGGGUAGUGGCUUACCAAGGCUUUGACGGGUAGCCGGCCUGAGAGGGUGACCGGCCAAAUUGGGAAUGAGAUACGGCCCAGACUACUACGGGAGGCAGCAGUGGGGAAUAUUGCACAAUGGGCGGAAGCCUGAUGCAGCAACGCCGCGUGCGGGAUGACGGCCUUCGGGUUGUAAACCGCUUUCGCCUGUGACGAAGCGUGAGUGACGGUAAUGGGUAAAGAAGCACCGGCUAACUACGUG
rnacentral:rRNA from 1 species